AAAGGCAAAAUUGGGUUGGAGGAAAUUAGGGAACACAAUUAGGAGUCCACGACAGACAAACAACGAUUGGAAUCUGUACGUCCAACCAAGGUGGAGAGCAGCGGAGAGCCUCCUCCAGCCAGGGGCGGAUCUACAGAGGGACUCGGGUGGUCCCGGGACCCUCCAAAGUUCUGGAGAAAGGCUUGAGAGGACCUCCGAGGACCCCCCGAUAAUCUGGGCAGUUUGUGCUAGCUGGGUUUAUAUGCACAAUCGACGGUCCAGUGGUUGCAGCUUGCGGAGAAGACGAGUCCUCCUGUUUUCUCUGUUUCUCUUUUUACCUAACACGUUGUCGUUUUUAAAAUCUUGACUUUAAUAAAACGGUGCGUUGCGAAAGGUUGCGUAAUUGUUUGCUUUCCCUUUUUUUUUAGAUUUGAUCUUUUUUUCUCUUUUUUUGGGUCAGAUUUUUUCUCUUCUAAAACUAAAACCCCACAAACUCCAACAUAUCUUUACUGUUAUAUAUAAUACCCGUGCCCUGAUAAUUUUAUUUUAUCCUAAAACCAAAGCAACUCAUCUAAACACUACAUUAAUAAAAUCCUAUUUGUCGAUCAAAAGAAAGUGAAAAGAUAUAUUCUAUCACAAAACAAAAUCAUGGGUAGUAAAGUAAAUUCACAUAAACUAAAUUUUACAGUUUUUUUUCAAAACCUCACCCAAAGAUGAACUGCCGUGGGGCAUAUACUAGUAUUAAUUAUAAAAACACUUAUUAAGGGCAGUUAGAUAACCAUCUUAUUUUUAGUUUUUAUUUUUGAGAAUUUUAACGAAAAGCACCCGGUACUGUUCACUUUAACGAAAAACCACAUUUUUACACUAAAAAGUCAAUCCUGGUACUAUUCACUUUACCUUUUAUUUUGUCCUUAUCAUUAAAACUCAAAGUUUUCAAACCCUUUUCAUUAAUUUUCCUUUUAUUUUUUUCACUUUUUUAAUUUUGUUUUACUUUUUUUCUCUACCAUAGGAUUAAAAUCAAACGAUGAGUGAAUGUGAUUUUCUUGAACCCUAUAGUCUAGGAGAACAAGACUCGUGUUGUUUGUACCAACAUUUAUAAAUGACAGUGAUGGUUUAAUGUUUCAAUGUUGUUUUCAUCUAAUUCUUUUUUUUUUUACAUUUACUUUAGGACCACCCGAGGUUAAUAUCCUGGAUUCGCCAUUGCCUCCAGCCUUCUUCUGACGGCGCCGAGGCUUUCUCCUCAGCCACCGCCGCAACAGCUGCAGCAUCAUCAGGAUAAACGACCCCAUCGCAGCCAAAGCGCCAACAGCAACAAGAUGAAGGGAUUAUUCAAGUCCAAGCCCCGAACCCCCGCCGACAUCGUUCGUCAGACCCGGGAUUUACUUGUCUAUGCCCAGCGCGCUCCCGAUUCUCGCAAAAGUAAACGCGAGGAAAAGGUAUCUAUUUUCCAUCUAUUAAAGCAAUCGAUCCAAUUCAAUACGAUCUGAUUGAAAUUUUGAUCCGG
rnacentral:lncRNA from 1 species